GUGAUCCUGGAUGCCCUGCGGGAGAAAGCGGAGUCCCACCCCGAGCUGCAGGCGCUCAUCCACAACGUGCAGCAAGCUUCUCCCAGUCUUUCACCCUGAAGGGCUCGGCCAGCCAGGACGACUUCAAGUUCAAGCCCUAGGCAGUCCCGUGGCUCGGACACCUCGCCUCUGACCCGGAGGAAAUCCUAUGACCAGGGGCAGCCUGCCAGG